UUAAUUUGAGAGUUUGAUCCUGGCUCAGGACGAACGCUGGCGGCGUGCCUAAUACAUGCAAGUCGAACGAACUCUGGUAUUGAUUGGUGCUUGCAUCAUGAUUUACAUUUGAGUGAGUGGCGAACUGGUGAGUAACACGUGGGAAACCUGCCCAGAAGCGGGGGAUAACACCUGGAAACAGAUGCUAAUACCGCAUAACAACUUGGACCGCAUGGUCCGAGUUUGAAAGAUGGCUUCGGCUAUCACUUUUGGAUGGUCCCGCGGCGUAUUAGCUAGAUGGUGAGGUAACGGCUCACCAUGGCAAUGAUACGUAGCCGACCUGAGAGGGUAAUCGGCCACAUUGGGACUGAGACACGGCCCAAACUCCUACGGGAGGCAGCAGUAGGGAAUCUUCCACAAUGGACGAAAGUCUGAUGGAGCAACGCCGCGUGAGUGAAGAAGGGUUUCGGCUCGUAAAACUCUGUUGUUAAAGAAGAACAUAUCUGAGAGUAACUGUUCAGGUAUUGACGGUAUUUAACCAGAAAGCCACGGCUAACUACGUGCCAGCAGCCGCGGUAAUACGUAGGUGGCAAGCGUUGUCCGGAUUUAUUGGGCGUAAAGCGAGCGCAGGCGGUUUUUUAAGUCUGAUGUGAAAGCCUUCGGCUCAACCGAAGAAGUGCAUCGGAAACUGGGAAACUUGAGUGCAGAAGAGGACAGUGGAACUCCAUGUGUAGCGGUGAAAUGCGUAGAUAUAUGGAAGAACACCAGUGGCGAAGGCGGCUGUCUGGUCUGUAACUGACGCUGAGGCUCGAAAGUAUGGGUAGCAAACAGGAUUAGAUACCCUGGUAGUCCAUACCGUAAACGAUGAAUGCUAAGUGUUGGAGGGUUUCCGCCCUUCAGUGCUGCAGCUAACGCAUUAAGCAUUCCGCCUGGGGAGUACGGCCGCAAGGCUGAAACUCAAAGGAAUUGACGGGGGCCCGCACAAGCGGUGGAGCAUGUGGUUUAAUUCGAAGCUACGCGAAGAACCUUACCAGGUCUUGACAUACUAUGCAAAUCUAAGAGAUUAGACGUUCCCUUCGGGGACAUGGAUACAGGUGGUGCAUGGUUGUCGUCAGCUCGUGUCGUGAGAUGUUGGGUUAAGUCCCGCAACGAGCGCAACCCUUAUUAUCAGUUGCCAGCAUUAAGUUGGGCACUCUGGUGAGACUGCCGGUGACAAACCGGAGGAAGGUGGGGAUGACGUCAAAUCAUCAUGCCCCUUAUGACCUGGGCUACACACGUGCUACAAUGGAUGGUACAACGAGUUGCGAACUCGCGAGAGUAAGCUAAUCUCUUAAAGCCAUUCUCAGUUCGGAUUGUAGGCUGCAACUCGCCUACAUGAAGUCGGAAUCGCUAGUAAUCGCGGAUCAGCAUGCCGCGGUGAAUACGUUCCCGGGCCUUGUACACACCGCCCGUCACACCAUGAGAGUUUGUAACACCCAAAGUCGGUGGGGUAACCUUUUAGGAACCAGCCGCCUAAGGUGGGACAGAUGAUUAGGGUGAAGUCGUAACAAGGUAGCCGUAGGAGAACCUGCGGCUGGAUCACCUCCUUUCUAA
rnacentral:rRNA from 1 species